GACGAACGCUGGCGGCGUGCUUAACACAUGCAAGUCGAACGAGAAUCUACUGAAAGAGUUUUCGGACAAUGGAUGUAGGGGAAAGUGGCGGACGGGUGAGUAACGCGUGAGGAACCUGCCUUGAAGAGGGGGACAACAGUUGGAAACGACUGCUAAUACCGCAUAACGCAUAGAGGUCGCAUGAUCUUUAUGCCAAAGAUUUAUCGCUUCAAGAUGGCCUCGCGUCUGAUUAGCUAGUUGGCGGGGUAAC
rnacentral:rRNA from 1 species